GGUGGCUCAGUGGUAGAGCAUUUGCCUUGCAUGCAUGAGGCCCUGGGUUCGAUUCCUCAACCA
rnacentral:tRNA from 1 species